rnacentral:rRNA from 1 species
AAGCGUGCGCAGGCGGUUAUAUAAGUCAGAUGUGAAAUCCCCGGGCUCAACCUGGGAACUGCAUUUGAGACUGUAUAGCUAGAGUACGGUAGAGGGGGAUGGAACUCCGCGUGUAGCAGUGAAAUGCGUAGAUAUGCGGAGGAACACCGAUGGCGAAGGCAAUCCCCUGGACCUGUACUGACGCUCAUGCACGAAAGCGUGGGGAGCAAACAGGAUUAGAUACCCUGGUAGUCCACGCCCUAAACGAUGUCAAGCUGGUUGUUGGGUCUUAACUGACUCAGUAACGAAGCUAACGCGUGCAGCUGCCCGCCCGCGGAGUACGGCUGCAACGCUGAAACUCAAAGGCAUUGCCGGGGACCCGCACAAGCCGGUGGACUGAUCUGGCUUAAUUCGAUGCAACGCGAAAAACCUUACCCACCUUUGACAUGUACGGAAGGAUCCAGAGAUGGAUUUGUGCUCGAAAGAGAACCGUAACACAGGUGCUGCAUGGCUGUUGUCAGCUCGUGUCGUGAGAUGUUGGGUUAAGUCCCGCAACGAGCGCAACCCUUGUCAUUAGUUGCUACAUUUAGUUGGGCACUCUAAUGAGACUGCCGGUGACAAACCCGGAGGAAGCGUGGGGAUGACGUCAAGUCUUCAUGGCCCUUAUAGGUGGGGCUACACACGUCAUACAAUGGCUGGUACAAAGGGUUGCCAACCCGCGAGGGGGAGCUAAUCCCAUAAAACCAGUCGUAGUCCGGAUCGCAGUCUGCAACUCGACUGCGUGAAGUCGGAAUCGCUAGUA